rnacentral:rRNA from 1 species
CCUACGGGAGGCAGCAGUGGGGAAUAUUGGACAAUGGGGGCAACCCUGAUCCAGCAAUGCCGCGUGUGUGAAGAAGGCCUGCGGGUUGUAAAGCACUUUCAGUAGGGAAGAAAAGCUCGGGGUUAAUACCCCCGGGUCUUGACGUUACCUAAAGAAGAAGCACCGGCUAACUCCGUGC